GUGAAAUGGCGACUGUUCAGAUCAGGCUGAAGAAGGCGAACAAGGUAUAUCGGGAAGGCGAUAUGUUGAAGGGAGUGGUUGCUAUCACUAGUAAAGGCGACUUGCAACAUCAAGGAAUCACGUUAUUUGUGGAAGGCUCCGUUAGUCUCCAACUCAGUGCGAAGAGCGUAGGGCUUUUCGAAGCGUUUUACAAUUCGUUGAAGCCAAUCCAACUGCUAGACAGCAGUCUUGAAUUAGUGAAGCCUGGAAAGAUACCAGGAGGGACAGAAAUUCCGUUCGAGUUUCCUCUAAAGCCGAAGCAAGGCAAAUCUUUGUAUGAAACAUACCAUGGGGUAUUUGUCAACAUUCAGUAUCUUGUGCGAUGCGAAGUUCGGCGCUCAUUGCUGGCGAAAGAUUUAGUGAAACAGCAAGAGUUUAUUGUUCAGUACAAAGAUCCGUCACUGUCUCAGGGAUUGGAAAGAAAAGUAGUGGAAUUUCGUGUGUCUCCGGAAUCUCUAGAUAAUGUGAAGGAGAGAGAAAGUGUUCCUAGAUUUCUGGUGACUGGUCACUUAGAUUCAGCGUCCUGCGUUAUCACAGAGCCAUUGACAGGUGAAUUGAUAGUUGAACAUUCUGCUAUACCCAUUAAAUCUAUUGAACUACAACUAAUUCGAGUUGAAACAUGUGGGUGUGCUGAGGGCUAUGCUAAGGAUGCCACUGAGAUACAGAACAUACAAAUUGCAGAAGGAGAUGUCUGUCGAGGUCUUCCUAUUCCUAUUCACAUGAUAUUCCCCAGGUUGUUUACCUGUCCUACUCUUGCAACAAACAACUUCAAAGUGGAAUUUGAAGUCAACACUGUGAUUGUGCUGCAAGACGACCAUCUCAUCACCGAGAAUUUUCCAAUUAAGCUGACUCGUUUUUAGACCUAACGGAAUUUGUGGAGUAUUUAGUAUAAUUAGAUACUGUUAGUGGGCGGUACAUUAGCUAAGCAAAUUGUUAUCAAUCAGCCAUACGUAGUCUUCUGUUCUGUUUGAUCUGUAGUUGUAGUAGUCUGAGUGUACAAAGUGCUAAUAUGUCUGCGAAGGGAGACGUUGCAAGUUCCCAAGUGUCGGACGUGUAUGCGUAUGUAGAGGAUUCUGACGAAGAAGACAUGGUUUUAGACCCCAACCCCAAUCCACCUCCGAAAGGGU